rnacentral:rRNA from 1 species
UACGAAGGGUGCAAACGUUGCUCGGAAUUAUUGGGCGUAAAGCGCACGUAGGCGGCUUGGCAAGUCGGAUGUGAAAUCCCUCGGCUCAACCAAGGAAGUGCAUCCGAAACUGCCGAGCUUGAGUACUUAAGAGGAUCGCGGAAUUCCCGGUGUAGAGGUGAAAUUCGUAGAUAUGGGGAGGAACACCGGUGGCGAAGGCGGCCAUCUGGACGGCUAUUGACGCUGAGACGCGAAAGCAUGGGGAGCAAACAGG